UACGUAGGGUGCGAGCGUUGUCCGGAAUUAUUGGGCGGAAAGGGCUCGUGGGCGGUUUGUCGCGUCGGGAGUGAAAACCAGGUGCUUAACACCUGGCUUGCUUUCGAUACGGGCAGACUAGAGGUAUUCAGGGGAGAACGGAAUUCCUGGUGUAGCGGUGAAAUGCGCAGAUAUCAGGAGGAACACCGGUGGCGAAGGCGGUUCUCUGGGAAUGACCUGACGCUGAGGAGCGAAAGUGUGGGGAGCGAACAGG
rnacentral:rRNA from 1 species